rnacentral:piRNA from 1 species
UUGAAGUUUCAGAAGCUCAAGACACGC